rnacentral:rRNA from 1 species
CUUCUGGAUUGCUUUGAGAGAGAGACUACUCUAUGCGGUGGAUCACUCGGCUCGUGUGUCGAUGAAGAGCGCAGCCAGCUGCGUGAAUUAAUGUGAAUUGCAGGACACGUUGAACAUCGACACUUCGAACGCACAUUG